GUUUGGGAUCUUGAUGUGCAAUUUGUUAUAUGCAUUUGUUGGGGGGGAGGUGUCUGUUGCGAACUUGCUUGGGUUUUGAUGGCCACAGCUGGUGCUGUGCAGGGUGUCGCCUGUUGCACAGGAUGUCUGCUGUCGUGCCCGAGCAGUGAGGAGCUUGGUCGGAGAUACAUUGUACAGAAGACCCCUCAGCCAAUGAGGAGAGUUCGAGAA